AGCAGCUGCACUGCUCUAUUUCUACUGUGUCUUCACCAGCUUGUAACAGCUUCUUAUGAGGAAGACUGAAAUCAGGAUAAAACUUUUAUUAACACCAAUGAGGGAAGGACUCCACACCUCUGUCGCCAUGCCCGCAAGGCAGCUUGGUGCCCUCCUGCAGCAGAAACCAUUAUCAAGUUCAUCUAAAAGAUCAUAGAAUCCUGGCAUCAUGGAAGAGAGCCCCUGCCAGCUGUAAGAAACCUCAAGAAGUCAACUGACUUAAAACAUUCAUUCUCAAAUAUCAGCUAAAUCAACCAUUACUUCAGCACUUCUGUGACAUGAAGACUGAAGGACAUCUGAUAAAUCUUGCUAAAACACUGUUUUAAGCAUAUCACCUCAUCUGUACUAAAGAUUUUCCAUUAACAGAGGCUCACAAAGUAAAUUGACAACAUGUUUAGCAGCUAGAAUCUUUUUAUUUGCAAACAGUCAGGAACUUUCAGGCUACUAGUCUCCUGAUUAACUGUUUUCUGCUGUAAUGGAAGUAGAAGUUUACACUCAAAAAUGACUGUUUACCAUUAAAUUCCAUGUAGGGACUCCACUUUACAGAUCAUUUAUUCUACAUUCUGAGUUUUUAUAGAAAUACCAUGUGGCAAAUGCAGUUGAGGAGAUGAAAAACACUUGUUAAAUCAUGCUAUAUUUCUAUCCCAUAAUAUUUCCUAGGACAUAGUUAUACUUACUUUUUAACAUCUUAUGAGGAGAGGGGAAAAAAGAGAACAAGUGAUAUAUUCUUACACGUCUCUCCACUUAAUUACUUUCACUGACAUUUACAUGGCAACACUUUUCACAUAUUUCAGUUUCCUAAAUAGAGGACCGUUUGAUAAAAUUGCUUAAAUAAUCAUUAGAUCAUUAUUACCAUUCAAAGAAAAAGCAGUUAAAAUGUCACUGCACUGCAUCUCCCAUAAAUAAAGCACUCAGAAAUGGAGAACAGUUUUAUGAGGGCCAGGUGGCAUUUUGCGUUAGUCUGCUUUUCUUACAAAGACGUAGAAAAGGUCUGCAGCCCUGAUGCAGCCCGAGAGCCUCAUCUUUUAUAGCAAUAUGUUCUGUUUCACUGCCAUGGCUUGACUACUCCCUCACCUAAACUAAACUAGUGUCAGUGCCUUUUAAUGACUCUUCUCUAUUUGAUAUACUUUAUGGUUUGCUCUUGGAGGUAGCAAACAUAGCAUAUAUCUCCCAGAGCAGUUGAAGUAAUGCAGCACUUCCCAGACUGCCUUCCAGAGCACGUGAUGAAGAGUAUACAGCUCUGUAGCCAUUAUCUGGGAAAUGCUUUGUCUUUUUCUUGCUUUUCUGAGUUUUGAGGAUUUCCAUUCGGAGUCAGAGCUCACCAACUCACCCAGCACGAUCUUCUCUUCACCAAAAAUGCUCCACGCGUUUGCUCUCUGUCUUUAUGUAAAAGUUACAUUUACAUCUCACGUCGAUUACCAAGUUAGUAGAUUGAAAAGUUACACCUCUCGCUAACAUUUACUAUCAUUUCAAGUAAUGUCAAACUCUAAUUUCUGUAUUGUGCUCUUUGUCUAUUUGUCUGCCGUGUACUUAUUUGCAAAGAUGGUACAGGAAAUAAUACUCAUUUGAGGAGAAGAUUGCUUCCAAUAUUCUGCAUGGCUGGUGGUAGAAAGCAAAGGGAAAAUCAUGUUUUUGCAUUUUGCACAUCAGAGAGCACAAAGACACUUGUACAUUACCAAUGAGGGCAGAGGGAAUUUCCAUGCUCUGUCUGCAGUCACUCCAGCCAUGCUGCCAGCUGCUCCUUGACACAAGGUCUGUGCUGGGGUUACUUUUCUUCUGGGUCAAAUUUGCUCUCAGUAGCUGUGUCAAAUUCAGCUGUGAGCUUUUCCUUGCACCCCUCAGUGCAAAAGCCCCAGCCCGGUCUGAUAUGCAGCCCACUCAAAAGCGUCCUUCAGAGUGCCCUAAGUCUCAGGGCAUUGGGUCUGAGCCUGAAUGCAUUUUUGCAUGGUAUUAGUGAGAAUCAUACAUGAAGCUGGAAUUUAAACGAGCUUUUAAACCUUACUUAGAAUCAAUGGUGUAAAUAUACAGGAGGAAGAGAAGCACAGAGUGAGUAAAUCUGAACAGAAUGUCAAAAAGAUUCAUUCUAUUUGGAACGAAACAGUGGUAAAGAAAUCUUUUCCAGAGGUGGACUUAUCUUCAUUUCCCUGAAAAUACUUGCUUUUUUCUUUUUGCCCUUCAUCUACUGGGGUGAUAAUUACUUGGGAUGGGCUUUCAGUAAUUGAGAACUGUUUUUUUUUUGAUAGUGCUCCUUCCCCUUGAAUGUCACCACAUCGAUCUUAACAGCACACUUCGAUGUCACUCAGGACAACUGGCUCAGUGAGAGAUGGCGGUUCUGCUUAGCAGCAAAUCUUCCAUUUCCUUUGUUAUCCAGACAGUUUCUUUCCACUGUGGCCAAGGACUGUGUGUUCAGUCAUGAACACACAGUGCAGGCCUGCAGGAAGGGGAAGAUGCAUAAUUUAUGCUGCAGGCCAGCACAGUGUCUCACACACUUUAAAACAAGCACUUCCUAUUUCAUAACUGUAGCCAAUUCUACAGCUGGAGAAUUCUUCUGUCCCACUGCACAUAAACCUCCUUUGCAUAUUUCAAAGUCUCAGUUUUACAACAGAAUCUCUUUACAUGAAGGGAAAUGAAAAUUUCCUUCUUGCUAUCAAUAACCUCAAGCUAAAUGUCCUUCUUGGCAGGCAGAAUAAGUGUUAGCCUAGAAAAGGAAGGACGUAUCUCUUGCUCCAGAUACAUAUUCUAAUAAUCAGAGAGAAUCUGCCCUGAUCUUGAACAGCAAUUAUUGUUUGGGAGGACACUGUGUUUAAUUUUCCUUGCUGCUUUGCUCUACCAGUGCCAUGUCAGCCCCAGCUGCCCAGAGAUGUGAACCUGAUCCCCCAGCAGACUAUUGGAAAACAGUCAGAUAUUAAAUGGAGAGAUGUUGCAUUUCUGUCUGUCUUUGCAAAACUGCAGUACCUGAAAGACACUUAGGGCAGAAAAUAAAUCAGGAUUAAAGAGUCGCCAAUGAGGCUGGUCCUUUUUCCUCAGCAGGAGCCAAAUAACAGUGCUGAUCCAAACUGAUGCCAUGGAAGGUUCAUCCAGACUGGAACAGUAAGAAGACAAAGAAAAAACAGGAUAACUAUUUUAUUAAUCAUUUCUGAUAGAAAUAUAUUAAGCAGUACUGGCAGUGGAUCCAUUUGUGAAAGAUUUCCCUUCUCCUUGUGAGAAUUGUGAUAGCAAUAAAUAACGGCAUUUUGAAAUAAUUUCAUUUUCAAUGCAAGUCAUUCUGCUUUUCAUUCCCUGUAUACACUUUAAUUUAUGUAAUGGAUUUGUUGCUGUAGCACGGAUAUUUUGUUUCGGGCAUUUCACUUCAUGCUCUAAACAAAUGAGAAACAGUUUAGAGGAGAAAAAUAAAAUAACAAUAUUCUUAAAAUUCCUCAAAGCCUUGGAAAGAAUUGGAAAAAUUAUCUGUACGUAUUGUGGAACAGAGCAGUGUCACAGAAAUGUGAUGAUAGUCUUCAUAUAUAAGCAAGGAUUGUUGCAGAGCAAAAUAAUUCACAGUUUUCCGUUUCCACCAGUGUAAAACCAGAUGGAAUCAACUUCAUCUGUAGGCAGAGGAGAUUGGGUUAGGAAGGCAUAUGUGCUGUAGGAACUGUUAAAUCCUGGAGUAGAUCACCAAGGGAGAUGAAAGAAUUCCCAACAAGUGUACAUACAUUCAGAUAUAUGCUUUGGAUUAUGCAUUACGUGUGCAUGUUUUAGAUACACAUCUGCUAAAGAUAUGCUGAUCUCACAGAAGCAGAAUGGGGUAAUGGAAUAUCUCGCCAUUCCCGUUGCUUCUUUCCAUAAUUUAUUUGAAUUUGUAGCGGGGAAUCUCAGAACAGAAUCCUCAGCAUGAAACAUGCUGCACAAAUCAUAAGAAAACCUCCAGGGAAGAUCACUAAUUUUCACACUCUACCAGUAUCAAUAUCUAAAUAGAUGUUGAAAAAUCAGCUUGCUGUUCUUUCAAGUAAGUUUACAUAAAGGCAUGAUAAGUUUGUCUAUUCUGCACCUCCCUGUAAAUAAUAUUUAAUAUUUAAUAAUAUUUAACCAAAACAUCCUCUGGGCUCCUGUGAAUUUAGUGCCAAUGGAAGAAUUGAGAAGGACAGCUUGCUUUUCCUAAGCUGAUGAAACUAACCUGACUCACCUCUUGGUUUCCCAGCUGAAUACGACAGUUUGGACAGCAGUGGUCAUGUUGCAGAGUAGAAAUGCACACUCUGGUGAUGCUUUCCCUCUAAAUUUUCCAAAGUCAUCUCAGAAUGUUCAAAUUCAUCAAAAUAUAUGCAAAUUUUUCCACUAGUUUCAGCAGAACCACGCUUUCCCUCACUUGUUGUGUUGGUUCCCUUUCAGAACGGAGGAGGUUUAGCUAUGAACUGUCUUUUCCUGCAAUUUCAGCUGUGGAACACAACCUUGCUUUAAACUAAUCAGGUCACCUGAAACUCCAGAGUCUGCAAAAUCUUAUCUGACCAGACAUGGCAGUUGAUAAAUACUUUCAUUGCUUCAGAAAAAGAAUACUGGGCUUUUAUGCCAUACCAUCACAUUGUUCUGAACACCGACAAGCUGCCAAGGCAGUGGCAGUACUUGAAAAGAUUAACCCUUUUUCUGAGACUCCCUAUGAUGCCAUGAGGUGCUAAGAAGGCAGACUUCACACUUCCAGAAUUCUCAGGAGUGUUUUACCAACUCAUUUUCACGUUUCAGUUUUCCACGAUCUGUACCCAUCCUAGCCAUAACUUCUUCUACACUGUUUGAGCUCUUGACUUCUGCCUUAACAGGCAUGCCUACAUACAGUGAUAAAAAGCUUAAUCACUCUAACCUUCCUUUCCCAUUACUUACCAUCAUGUGUUAAGAUCUUCACCACAGUUAGGCCAUAAAGAGACAUGUUCAAGAGUCUGGCAUGGGGUGAAUCUCCACUUCAGUUGCUACAGACAAUUUAACAAGAGUUAUAUAGAUGGUUCUCCAUGUGCUAUUUGUGAAUUACUGUUUUAACAAUCAGAGGUACGGACAUUGUUUAUGAGGUGUGAGGUGCUAUUUUUACAAUACAAUAAAUCUUAAAAGGUCAGCUUGGCAAAAGGGUGCCUGGAUGAUGGAAAUCAUAAAAACUAAUAUAUGAAAUGAAGUAGAGCAAAUUUAGGUGAAAGUGUAAACAGCACUUUGACAGAUAAAAGCAACUAUCUAGGACUGUAGCAGAUAUUCCAGUGGUAGAACAAAGCAGCAGGAACAGAGCCAAGUUAAUAGGAAUACAUUGCUGCUGCUGCUGGUUAGAGCAACAAAUUUAAGAAACAGUAACGAAAGUGUUGAAAAUAGCCAUAUUUUGAAAAGAGCCAGAUACAGUGGAAUACUCCAGAAACUAUUUUUAAUUUAAAAAAACGAUUCCUGCACUUUUGAAUUGUAAUUAACAACAACAACAACAAAAAUUCUAAAUAAGUAUCUUAGUAUCCUACAGGACAUAUUUGAAGCAUGAGGUCACCUGGUUCUUAAUCAAAAGCUGAGAUGACCUGAAAAAAUACAAACCCACACAACAAAGUGUAAGCUGGCUUUUCCAUCCCUUGGCUAUAACAAGAAAAAAAUAUAAUCAGAAAGAGCAAAAAAUACUGAAAUUGAAUACCUCAGGGUUUCACAUAUCUCUGCUUGACCUUGCUGCAUUUUCCUCUGGGAUGUCCUGUCACCAGAAACUGGGCUUGGUGCUGUUCCAUCUCUUAGGAGCUGCUGAGCAGGCGCUUGCUGUUUGCUUACCUUACUGCAGAAUGAAGCUAGUUUGCUUCAGCUACCUGACUUGUCUCAGCACAUUUGGGACAGUCCACAAGUAUGUGAACAGUCACUUAAAGAAGCUGGAACUUUACUGCUUGCAGCUGAGGGUGUAAUUUGAACAGUUUCUCUGAUGCAAGGAGGCCUACAGGCUCAGUAUUUGUGACUACUCACGCUUGUUUAAAAAGAUGCAAAUGCUUAGCUUAUUUUCAUCUGUGAGCUGCUUUGUUUUCCAAUGGUAUUUCUAUCCCAUGAGUACUGCCCAUACCCCCCCAUAUUCAGGCACAGAAUGAAGCACAGGCCAGGCUGCUGUGGAAACACAGCUUGGGACUGGAGGUACUUGGGAAUGGAGAUUUCAGCAAUGCCUCCUCAGCAUGCUGGAUGGAUACAACCAGUGACCAACGUACAAAAGCUUCACAAAAGUGGAAGGUCACUUGGAGAGCAGUUCUGGAACAGUGGAGAAAAAGCAAUGAUUCAGCCAUGCCUUCCAGCACAAACUUGUUUUCAACACUGAGCUUACAUCCACCCUCAUCCCACAAGGUUUAAUAGACGACUGUGGAACCUUAACAUGGAUUAAUGCCAAAGAGAGACAGCUUGUCUCUGAGGGCUCAGGAGGAGUUGGAAAAAAUUGUGUUCUGCCUUCUUUCUACCUAAUCUGGCUUCUGUGCAGUUUGGUGAUGCACUGUACUCCUCUGAAGGGAUUGAUGUACUGCACAGUGCAAUCCUAGCCUGGUGCUAAUUGUGACAGCUUAGUACUAAUGUGAAGACGCUCAGGUAACGAUGAUCAAACACACACACACAAAAACAAAACAAAAGAACACUGAAAUUGUAUUUAUGUGAAAUGGCAUUUAUUUCCAAGUUGGCAUUUUCAGAGUAGACAUCUUUUUGUAUAUAUAUGUGUGUGUUCAUGUAUGUAUGUAUCGUGUGCAAACCAUGCACAGAACUGAUAGCCAAAACAAAUGGGGUUUAAUUUUAUUCUCUUGACUGUGCAGUGAUUUCAUCCUCAACAGGCUGUGUUGAGCCCAUGCAGGCUUUUUCUCUUCUAAUACCAGCAGUCUACAAAGGCAGCUGACAGGACGAUGAGCUUUUCUUGUGUAUUGUAGUUAGUUCUGUCCUACUACAGGAGGAAGCAGCAUCCUGUGCCUUUUAUCUGGUCCCUACAAGUCUGAAGGCUGGAGGAAGAAAAUGGGCAGAUAGCCAUGAGAAGCAGGAGCAACAAACUGUUCUUGUAAUAAUAAGUGUUGAAAGACAUUUAAAAGAUGCUUCAUUCUGGGUUGUACUGCAUGGUGGUGAGGAUUGAGCUGAAAAGGGGUAGGCAGGUCUGUGCUUUAUUUUGUGCAGAGGGCAGAAUUUCAGCUCUCAGCAGUGCAUCAUGCAUCAGCUCAGUGAGAUAAGUAGGUGCAGCACAGCUGUGGCUGGGAGGGAUGGUGAUGACAUGAGCAAAUAAUUUCAUUUACGAUUUCAGGUUGUCAGGAAGCACUGUCCCAAGAGAGAUGAGCAAAUGGCACUUUUGCUGGCAGUGAAUCAUAAACAUGCCAGCAGAAGUUACAAAGCACUCUCUCCAUUUAACCCCACUUUCCAAAAGGUAAAAAGCAUUUCUGAGUUUUAAUGGAUCUGAAUUCAGAGCCACACUCAAGUACUCCAAAUGACUGGGACUUAGAUGUGAGAAGUGAGGCAGCUGAGGUUAGCAACCACUCUCUAAAAGUGGCUUCAUUUCCCUCGCUCGGCUUCAGAAACGUUCCCCCAUCAGCAGCCCUGGGCGCAGGCCCUGCUGUGGGACACCAUCCUCUGUCCCUCAGGCAGAAGUUUUAGAGAAAUAAAUCACAAUCUCGUUGAUGCUGAUGGAGAUCUUUGGGAUUGACAUCACGUUUUGCCUUUGGAUUGCAGAACUUUGCCAGGAUAACAUGCCAUCGCCCUGUUUGUUGUAUUUGCAGUAAAGCAGAAAAGUACCUCCCUUUCCUCCAUGUCUCAGAAAUCCUGUGCACAAACUGGUCUGAAUUUGGGGUUACACAUAUUAGCUAGGAGAUUUGUGGAAUAGAGUAUACAUUAGUCUCUGUGCAGCAGCUAUACAUUAGUCACAACCUUUGGUUUCUCUCCAUGUUGAAGCUCAUUGAGGUAGUUAUUUUCUUCAUUUAGCAAUCUGCCCAUGUCUGUUAAGCAGCAUUGUGGCGAUUUAAGGCCACGUCUUGAAUAUUCUUUGUGUUAUCUUGUCCUUUGAUUUCCUGAAGACACUGAAAAAUGUAAUAAUUGUAAUUUGCUAUUCAAGUAUUUAUACUUAUUAGAGUUUCAUUUUCAUACUGAAUAGGGCUUCGCAGAUGCAACCUGGCCUCUGUACUGAGGACUCUGACUUUACCCAGCUGAAGGUGUGUGAGCUUUCCGUAGUCGUUAGGGAGGGAUGAGGGAAGAGUUCAUCCUGUCUUAGAAGAGGCACUAAAGAUUUCUCCUCACUUACUCACUCCAUUUAGUAGGGUUUGUCUGCUCUAAGAUCGUUUUUGUAGUGUUUUGUUCCACCUGGGAGAGCAGCUGCUCCAAGUGGCAUGGUUCCACUCAUAAGUGAGAGAGACAAAGGAAAUUGUGAUAUGUGACUCUAAUAUUACAGAAAAAAAUAGGCUGCUUGCUGACAGAUGAAGUUAGAAGCCAGCUGUCCAGUCCUGUGUGUCGUUCAUAUAGCUGUGUUUUUAAAAAGGAGAGAUUUAUAGAACUGAUAAGCAAGGCUUUAUAGCAAGGCUUUAAAUUUUAUUGUGUAGUUAUGAAUUUACUUCAAUCUUCUGAAGAAAAAAAAAAGAAAAAGAAAAAAGAAAAGAAAAAGCUGUGAGCUGAUUUUAGCUUUGCUGAAAAAGAGAGAAAGAACAUCUUUUUCCUGUGUGCACAGAGAUGGGCUGCAGCCUCAGCACACUGCUGACCCUCAGGGCUAGGGGCCUUGGACUGCUGUCCCCAAACGAGCCCCUUUCUGCCAAAUCCAACAGCCAUCAAGCACUUCGAGAGGAUCAUAAGCUAAGAAGGGCUAUUUCAGUCAAUGCAAGUGUAACUGCUACUGCUUUUCCCCCUCCAGACCCAUCUGGAAAUCUGCACGUAGCUGUAAAUAAUGUCAUUGUUGCUGGAAAGAGCCAGUGCUGGAGGCAGCCACCAGCACUCAGUUUGCAGUAGCCUGGCAGCAGCCCAGCAGCCUCAGCUGGGACUCACACCUCGCACGGACUGGGAGCCAGGCAGCCUUCCAGCUCGCACCCUGUUUGCCUGAACACAUUUAUUUUUAGAAAGAAAAAAAGCCAUAAAGAAGCUGGCUCAUUAUUUAAAGAUUAGGAUAAAAAUAAAAAAUAGAAUAGCUGGAGCAUUUCAACCAUUUUCCAAACAGCUAAAAUUCUCCUCUCAAGUCCUGACCCUUUCCUAUCCUAUCCUGGAUGGCAGGCAAAUGUUAGUUCUAUUUGGUUAGCUAGAGGAGCAGUGCAUUAUAAAGUGAGUUUGAGUGGGGGCCCAAGGUCAGGUCCUGUGACACCCCAGGCAAAGCAGACAUGUCCUGAGGCCUAAGAGGUCAGCAGAGAUGACGUGAUAUCAUACCUGAGAUGGGAGGCAGGUGAGACUCAGACCCCAAAUCUUUUGUCUCUUGGCAGUUAAUAGGACUGGCUCUGCCUCUGGAUCCUAAUUUGUGGUUGAGUUUAUCACAAUUACAGCUAAAACACAGGGGCGUGAAACAGCUCAUGCUCUAGACAGCGAGAAAGCUCUCAAUUUCCAUCCCAGCCUGCUUGCCUUCUCCACCAGUUCAUUACAUGAGAGUUGUGCCCCGUCUCUGGCCCUUUUCUUGUCACCGCUUAUUCCUUGCAAACGUCACUUUGAUGAACAGCACAAUUCUUACUGUCGUUACUUUUCUAACUGCUGCCAACAAUCUACUGAAUGCAGCAGUCAGGCUGUUACAGCACUCUCAUUCAUGGUACUGUUGCCCUUCUCUGUAGAUUGUUGCAGCACCCUCAGCAUAAAUCUCUAUAGCGAACACUUUUGGACUGAGUGCUAAUAAUAAAAUGCUGGAUACCUCAAGCUUUUGCAAACGCUGUCUUUGCCAGGGACUUUUUUUUAUUGGUUUAUUUUGAAAUGGCUCUCUUUAGAAAACAACUGUGUUUUACAGCCUAAUUUCCGGCAGAUGUGACAAUCUACACCCCUCUCCUUCCUAGAAUAAAGCUGUGGUAGUAUGCUGUGUCUUGCUGCAAUGCUAAUGUCUCCACGGCUGACACGUACUACAUGUUAGCAGUGCAAAGAAGACUGCGUGGGACUGUGUUUGGGGAUGGGAAAGUGGCAGAAAACUGCAGAUGUAAAAAAAUAUAUGUAUUUUGCAUCAGCACUCUAAUAUUUAGAACAUGCCAGUGAUUCAUGGUGAGACAUGCAUCUGGUAUCUGUGCCGCUGUGUAUUGAAAAAUACUGAUUGCUCUGUGAAUUUGGCAGCAAGAUAAAAAAACAAGGUUUUGAUCUUGGUGCAAAAAUAACAAAGCUGUACACGUGUCUCUGGCAUGUCAGAAAACAGCUCAGAGUGGGUUUGCUCUCCUUACCCCCUUCUAUUUUCAUGAAGGUGAAUAGCCUGCCUGCCUGCUUGCCUGCCUGCAUGCAGAGAGGGCAGACAAGGUUGGUGUGAUGGGGUAAAGGAGCUGUUAAAUGCCCACAACAUGUUGCUGAUUCCCUCAAGCCCUGCACGCUGCCUAUUGAGCUGAAUCCUGCCCAGAGCUCAGCCCCUUUCAGAGCUCCUGUCUUUACCCAAUCUGUCAGUGCCUCGCUGCUUUGUCUCUUCUUGAGUGUUCAUGAAGAACUACAAGAGGCGAGACUGGUAGAAUUUGAUAUUUGAUUUCCACUUAUUUGUGAGCAUUUUGUAUUUGUUUUCCACAGGUGUGCCAGUAAUUACACCACUGGUGUACAUCACUGCAGCAGCACAGCAGUGUUGCUCUGACACCUGCAGUUCAUUAUUUUCACAGGCUCACAACUGGGUGGUCAUCAUGGAAAAUUGGAUUCCAUCAGCAGGGAUGGCUGUACUGUUCCUUAUGAAGUGUUUCUAAGGCAGCUGUUUCUGUGCUACUUGAGCAUUAAAUACAGUAUGUGAGAUUCCAGUAGCUCCUUGCAGGGCUGCUGGGCAGUCACCAGAGUUAAGGGUUGUAAACACGUAAGGUCUUUAAUUCAAAUGAUGCUGAAAAGCUUAUAAUGCAAAUGGAAAACAAAUGCUAGUAAAUCCAUGAUGGUUUUUUUUCACGAUCCCUCUCUGCAGCCUGUUCAGUCUCCCUGCUUUUGACCCAUAAGUCAAAACAUAUUUCAGUACAUUCCAAAAUUCUGUGUGAGCAGCUCCCUGCAUUUGGAUGUAUCUGCCUAUUCUUUAUGCAACCAGUAUAAAAUGGAUCCCCUUUCUUGCCUUCUCUCUUUUCUGUUGAUGAUUUUAUUCUACAUUAGAAACAUUAUUUUAAACAGUAUGUUAUGUGUUGUUAUUGCUACUAUUGCAAGUAUGUGCUAUAGUGAAAAUAGCCUGAGUGACAAUCACAGCAAGUUAAAAUGUAUUAUAAAGGCAUUAAAGUGGUUGUUAACUGAGCCACUAUGAAUGUUUGAGUUUUAAGAAUUUAUUGAUUUAAAUUAUGUAUGUUAAUGUACCCAUCAAACUUAGAAAUGUGGAUUGUAGCAAACUGCUCAUAAUAUAUGAAUGAUAAGCAUAAAUAAUAACUGUGUCUGUAAAUUACAUUACUUAAUUAUGCUGCAAAGAUGCACUUUAAUUUGGAAAAUUACUUGAAAUUGAUUUCAGCAGUUAAUAAUUAUUUUAGGAUAGCAGAGCUUUAUGAGCCAUAGUCUCAAGUCAAGCAUCAAACUUUCUGACAGGUUUUUCCCACUAACCUGGUUCACUGGGUAUUGCUAUGACCUGAAUACAGUGGAUGUGACAGACAAAAUAAUGAGUGGAGAUAUUUGUAAACCAAAAUACAGAAGUGCUUUAAAUCAAAGACGUGACUGUUUUGAUGGUGGAAACAACCGUGAGUAUGGGUGAGAGCUGAGUUAAUGAAGGGGGCCUUCUUGGUCCCAAGGACUCCUGAACGCUUGCUGUGGUUUGUAGAUCCUUUGGGGAUUGUGGUUUUGCUCCAGCUUACCUGUCUGGUGCAAUGAUGUUCAUUGCAUUUGUGAGCUUCUCCUUCAGAAGAAGUAAAGCAUCAGUGGCUCACAGAAGGAGCUUCUCCUUCACUGUGAACACAUGCUAAGAAAAGCCAAAACAUUGCAAUGAUUCAGUUCAGCUGGGUGAGUAUAUAGAAAGGUGUUAUAUAGGUAGAGUGUGGGUAUAGGGAUUUUAGAUCUCUAAAUCACCUACAUUAAGAUAUCAGAUAUCUAAGUUGUGAAUAUGGGAAAGUAUGUGUGUGUGUGUACAGAAAAUAUAUAUGAUUUGAUUCCAUUUAUAUUCAAAACUUCCACUGGUUUGUAUUUUCCAUAUUCCCUUCUCACUUCAAAUUUUCAGCAGUAUAUUGGAAAUUGAGCCUUGGAAACAAGAAAACUGCAUCUUGCCUUUGGUUCUUAGGAACUUGAUGAUGUCACUGUUCUCCUGACCUUCAACUUCACAGAUCAAUGACAAUCACUACAAUAAAUUCUGUGUUAUCCCAAAAUUUCUUACAAACUUGUUAACUGUCAGUUUAAUCCAAUAGAUGUUAAUGUGUUACCUUGACUCAUUCUGAUUUUCUAGUUUCCAUCUGAAAAGUGUCACAAGUAAUAAUAUUUUGGAACAAGUAAAUAUAAUUUAGAAUAAAAAGAUGCUUACUGAGCCAGGAUUAAGAAAAACUGUAUUACUGUCUUCUGUAAACUCGAGGAUAAUAUGUUCUCUUCCAAAGAAUCACAGCUUUUCCACUGCAUUCUGCAGAGGAUUCAUUCCCAUCACA